GCGGCGGUGGUGUACGGUGUAGCAUCGCUACCCGGAAAGCAGUAGAUGCGGGUUCGAGUCCCGCUUGGCUCA
rnacentral:tRNA from 1 species